AUACAGCUGACUAGUCCCAAACAAGACGAAACGUGCGUCUUGGAU
rfam:Schistosoma mansoni strain Puerto Rico chromosome 6, complete genome